rnacentral:rRNA from 1 species
GAUGAACGCUGGCGGCGGGCCUAAUACAUGCAAGUCGAGCGAACAGACGAUGAGCUUGCGCCUCUGACGGUGGCGGCGGACGGGUGGGUAACACGUGGAUAAGCUACCUAUAUUACGGGGGUAACUUCGGGAAACCGGAUCUACUACCGGAUCAUAUAUUGUACCGCAUGGUUCAAUAGUUAAAGACGGUUUUGCUGUCACUUAUAGAUGGAUCCGCGCCGCAUUAGCUAGUUGGUAAGGUAACGGCUUACCAAGGCAACGAUGCGUGGCCGACCUGAGAGGGGAAUCGGCCACACUGGACCUGAGACACGGCCCAGACUCCUACGGGAGGAAGCAGUAGGAAAACUGCAGAAAUGGGCGAAAGCCUGACGAAGCAACGCGGGGUGAGGGAUGAAGGUCUUCGGUUCGUAAAACCCUGUUAUUAGGGAAAAAAAAAUGUGUAAGUAACCAUGCACGUCUGGCGGGUACCAAAUAAGAAAGCCACGCCAAACUCCGG